CAACCUAGCUGAUUCCGUGUUUCUGUGAUUGAUAUAGGUGCUUCUAGAAUUUCUAAAAAAUAAAAUAUUUUUCUUACAGGAAUUAAUUCAGGAAGCUCUUUUGGCCUUUUUAUAUGGCAAGACAUACUAGAUAAAUGAAAGACUCCCUUGUGGCUUUAUAGGUAACAUCUUCUCAAGUGGUAAAAAUGCUUCAGGCAGAAAUGAGACUAGAAAAAGAGUUUCUCAGUUAUUUAACUGAGGAAAUUGAUGUACUUAUAAACUGCGGUUAGGAAUCUUCAGCAGAUCUCUGAACUAAAUGCCUACUUCCUAAUUUUAACUAAUGCCUUAACUGGAAAUUUUUUGUCCUCUUUCCAAAAUGUGUAAUAAACAAACCCAAAGGGAAAAUAAGCUAGCUAAUAUGUCUUUGCAAGUGCAAGAUGUAUAAAUUAGCUAGCAGAUUGCAGUAGACACUUAUUUUGUUUUUUAUACUUCCUGAAAUACAUUGGUUUGGACCUUCAAAAUGGAGAUGGUGUCCAGUUUGCUUAGCAGCACUGAUACUUGUCACUCAGGAACAUUAACAGGGAUCAUGGUCUUUAAAUUCAGCAGAUGAAAAUCUCUUUCCUCCAGAAAAUACACUCCGUUAUAGAUGACUGCCAAUGAAAAGUAAACAGCCAGCUCCAAUGAAGAAAUGUGCUGAAAGCGAAUACCUUUUGAACUCUGAAUCUUUAUUUCCACUCUUUAUGGAAAUAAACACAUUUAUGGUUUGUUUAUUACUUGCAGAAAGAAAGCUUGUUCGUCCUCCUCCCCUCCACCCCUUUUCAUUUGCUGGUCUAGCUACUGAGCAGACCCUAAUCACAAGAUGUCUGUGUAUAUCAAGCAGAUGUUCACUGGCAACAGAAAAUCAGUGUCUGGCAUGCAGUUAUAUUGUGUUUUUAGCCUGCAUUGAGCACAGUUGAAAGCAAUGUUUUGUGUCACUAUAUCUGUAUUUCAUAAUAAAGAACAAGUGCCCACUUCAA